UGGGGAAUAUUGGACAAUGGGGGCAACCCUGAUCCAGCCAUGCCGCGUGUGUGAAGAAGGCCUUUUGGUUGUAAAGCACUUUAAGCAGGGAGGAGAGGCUAAUGGUUAAUACCCAUUAGAUUAGACGUUACCUGCAGAAUAAGCACCGGCUAACUCUGUGCCAGCAGCCGCGGUAAUACAGAGGGUGCGAGCGUUAAUCGGAAUUACUGGGCGUAAAGCGAGUGUAGGUGGCUCAUUAAGUCACAUGUGAAAUCCCCGGGCUUAACCUGGGAACUGCAUGUGAUACUGGUGGUGCUAGAAUAUGUGAGAGGGAAGUAGAAUUCCAGGUGUAGCGGUGAAAUGCGUAGAGAUCUGGAGGAAUACCGAUGGCGAAGGCAGCUUCCUGGCAUAAUAUUGACACUGAGAUUCGGAAGCGUGGGUAGCAAACAGGAUUAGAUACCCUGGUAGUCCACGCCGUAAAACGAUGUCUACUAGCCGUUGGGGUCCUUGAGACUUUAGUGGCGCAGUUAACGCGAUAAGUAGACCGCCUGGGGAG
rnacentral:rRNA from 1 species